AACAGAAAACAUCUCUGAAUGAGUUAAAGAGAAAUAAAAAGAAGUUAAGAAGUGGAGAUGUCAAUUUCAGAUAACGAUUUUGAGCUGCAAAUUUCAAGAAGAUGAAAAUGAUAGAAUUGACACCAGAGUAGUGUAAGAAGACAUGGAAAGAACAGAAGAGUUUUAAUUCACUUUUGUAAAUCGAAAUGCCAUGAUUGAUGCUGCAUUGAACUGGAUUAAAAGGAUAAAACAAGAGGAAAUGCAUUCAGAGUUGAAGCUGGAUCUAUUUAGGUGAAUUAUGCUAGAGCACUUCCUGGCCUGGGAGGCUAUUUGGCUUAGCAAUGGAUUGCUAAACCAGGUCAAGGGAUCUUUCUCCAGAGAGAGAAUCAGAAGAAUGAAGGGGAUUUGGGAAGUCAUUUGAGCAGAUGAAAGUUGAUCUUUUGAAAGACCACCACCUCCCCAGGGAAGAAAUGCCAUGACUUCAUAGCAAUGCCUAGGAAUCUUCACUUUCUACUUAUCUUAAGUUGGUGUUGAAGUUUCAAUACAUUUCCUCUUUUUUCUCUUCUCAGUUCAAGUAGAAAGUAGUUAGCUUGGAUCUUUAAAACCUUGGCUGAUUUUUAAAGGUCCUAUUAUACUGUCACUCACAGUGUCUUGUUCAGGCUAAACAAUUCCCUUUCUGUAGGCUUAUCUGAUAAGCACUACUUUCUAAUCCUCUAAUUGUGACUAUGCUUCUGCUAUGAAAUGUCUGCAAGAUUUACUAUCUGUAGUUUUGAGCU